GAUGAUCCUUGAAAUUGACUCACAUCAUCAAGAUGGUUCCUAAAAUUGAAAAUCGAUAGAUGUAGUCCUAGAAAAUAGGUGUUGCAAAUCAAUAUGAUCAUUCUGCAACAAUUCUGUAAAAAUUUUAUUAUGUGCUGACGUGGGUAUAAUAAUUAAUUUAAUAAGUUAUCUAAAUACCUUUUUGCACAAUAGAAUUUUUUUUUUCUCAUAGUAGGACCUAUUCCGAAGAGAGCUCACUUCCAUAAAUUCUCAAAGGCACAAGGUUUAACCAAUGCCUAGGAGAGAGUUUGGAAAUAGUUUUCAACCAACAAUAGAUGCACCUCGAUUAUAACCUCAUUAUCUCAAGGCAAACAUCGUCGUUCUUUGAGUCACCAAACUACCAGGGAAGCACCAAACAAGCUCUCCAAGAUUAAAGUUGUGAGGAUGUUGAUCGCCUAAAUGUUAACGGUGAUGUUCAAGAAGUCGUUGCCAAUCAAUCAAGCCAUCCCCAAAGGUGAUCUUGAUCCAGGUUCAAUAUGGUGAAGGAUGUCGAAGUGUGUAAAGUUGUAUGUAUUAAGAUUUUUUGUUUUUUUGUUUUUUGUUUUUUUUUUGAAAAGGAGGUAGAGGAAUGUGGAUUGGGUUUUUGGGUUCACAAUUUUUUAUUAUUAAAUUAUUAAACCUAUUUGUAAUUUUUUAAAUUUAAUUAGGCUUAUGUAAUCUAUUUAUAUGUCACAUCAGCACAUAACAAAAUUUUGAUUGAAGGACUACAUUGAUUUAGGACACUUAUUUGCAGAACUACAUUGAUCGAUUUUUAAUUUAAGGGACCACUUUGAUGUCAUAUGCCAAUUUUAAGGACCAUUUUGAUGCACUUAACGAAUUUUUUAACAGAAUUGUGACGGAAUGACCACAUUGAUUUGCGACACCUAUUUUCAGGGACUACAUUGAUUGAUUUUCAAUUUGAGGAAUCAAGAACCAUCUGGAUGGUGAAGAUUAAUUUCAGGGACCAAUUGUGAUAAAAACCCAAUUAUUAAUUGCAAGAAACAGUAUUGAUUACUAAUUUAAUCAUAUUAUACAUGCAUAAUGGUGCAUAAGUACAAAU
rnacentral:lncRNA from 1 species